rnacentral:lncRNA from 1 species
AUGGACAAAGUCGAGGUGAUUCGACAACAGUCAAGGGGAUUUGACACAGUCGAGGUGAUUCGACACAGUCGAGGGGAUUCGACACAGUCGAGGGGAUUCGACACAGUCGAGGGGAUUCGACACUAAUAAUAGCCCACUUGGGUUGGGUACUCCCUAUGUUUUCACAUAUAUUAAUGUCCUUGCAAAACAUUAAUUGAUCUAUUCAUAGACGCUUUACAUACUUGUUUUCAAAGGAAUCUCUCAAAUGUUUACAAGUUUAUUGGAACUCAUACAAAACGCAUGAACUCGCUCAACUUUUGUUGACUUUUUAAAACUACAUGUAUUUCAGGAAACAAGUCUUGAGCCGGUGAUACAUGAUUGGAUGCAAUGAUUACCUUUCUUACGUCACACGCAACACGCUUCCGCAACUAGCAGGGUGUGAC